rnacentral:lncRNA from 1 species
AUCCAAUAAACCAAUUGAACUCGAUCCAAUCAAGCCCAAACCAAAUCUAAUUAAAUCAUAUUUAAUUAGACUUAAUCUCAGCCCAUUGACUUAAUCAAAUUAAGCCAAUUAGCAAUCGAAUUGGUAAUCGAUCCUCCUGCAACACUUGCACUAGGUUAAAUAUCAAUCGUAUUGAUCAUUUAACCCUAGAACGAUUCUUAAUCGUUGAUCAACCAUCCGAUCGGAUCAUGAACUCUAAUGUGUGUGAUCUCAUAGGUCCGAACCUAAGC